rnacentral:rRNA from 1 species
AUACGGGGGGUGCAAGCGUUAAUCGGAAUUACUGGGCGUAAAGCGCGCGUAGGCGGUUAAAUAAGUCGGAUGUGAAAGCCCCGGGCUCAACCUGGGAAUUGCAUUCGAUACUGCUUGACUAGAGUAUGGUAGAGGGAAGUGGAAUUUCCGGUGUAGCGGUGAAAUGCGUAGAUAUCGGAAGGAACACCAGUGGCGAAGGCGACUUCCUGGGCCAAUACUGACGCUGAGGUGCGAAAGCGUGGGGAGCAAACAGGAUUAGAUACCCGAGUAGUCC